rnacentral:miRNA from 1 species
UGACCUGGAAUGGUGUGUAACAGC